rnacentral:rRNA from 1 species
UACGUAGGGGGCUAGCGUUGUCCGGAUUUAUUGGGCGUAAAGAGCGUGUAGGCGGCCAUGUAGGUCCGUUGUGAAAACUCGAGGCUCAACCUCGAGACGCCGAUGGAAACCAUGUGGCUAGAGUCCGGAAGAGGAGAGUGGAAUUCCUGGUGUAGCGGUGAAAUGCGCAGAUAUCAGGAAGAACACCCGUGGCUAAGGCGGCUCUCUAGUACGGUACUGACGCUGAGGAGCGAAAGCGUGGGUAGCAAACAGG